rnacentral:rRNA from 1 species
UACGUAGGGGGCAAGCGUUGUCCGGAAUCAUUGGGCGUAAAGAGCGUGUAGGCGGUCCGGUCAGUCGGUUGUGAAAGUCAAGGGCUCAACCCUUGAAUGCCGGCCGAUACUGCCGGGCUAGAGUCCGGAAGAGGUGAGUGGAAUUCCUGGUGUAGCGGUGAAAUUCGUAGAUAUUCGGAAGAACACCAGUGGCGAAGGCGACUUACUGGACGAUUGUUGACGCUGAGGUGCGAAAGCGUGGGGAGCAAACAGG